GCCCGGAUGGCGGAAUUGGCAGACGCGCUACAUUCAGGUUGUAGUAUUCGAAAGGAUGUGCAGGUUCAACCCCUGUUCCGGGUA
rnacentral:tRNA from 1 species